AUUGAACGCUGGCGGCAUGCCUUACACAUGCAAGUCGAACGGUAACAGGUCUUCGGAUGCUGACGAGUGGCGAACGGGUGAGUAAUACAUCGGAACGUGCCUAGUAGUGGGGGAUAACUACUCGAAAGAGUGGCUAACACCGCAUGAGAUCUACGGAUGAAAGCAGGGGAUCGCAAGACCUUGUGCUACUAGAGCGGCCGAUGGCAGAUUAGGUAGUUGGUGGGAUAAAAGCUUACCAAGCCGACGAUCUGUAGCUGGUCUGAGAGGACGACCAGCCACACUGGGACUGAGACACGGCCCAGAAUCCUACGGGAGGCAGCAGUGGGGAAUUUUGGACAAUGGGCGAAAGCCUGAUCCAGCAAUGCCGCGUGCAGGAUGAAGGCCUUCGGGUUGUAAACUGCUUUUGUACGGAACGAAAAGCCCUGGGUUAAUACCCUGGGGUCAUGACGGUACCGUAAGAAUAAGCACCGGCUAACUACGUGCCAGCAGCCGCCGUAA
rnacentral:rRNA from 1 species